GCUGGUGUAGGUGAUGACAGUUUUUUCCCCGUCAGAGCGAUAGUGCUGAUUGCUCGCUGCUCAAGCCAGACCGUGUCUGACGCGCCAGC
rnacentral:snoRNA from 1 species